CCUUUAUGGAGCCAGCCGCCUAAGGUGGGACAGAUGAUUGGGGUGAAGUCGUAACAAGGUAGCCGUAUCGGAAGGUGCGGCUGGAUCACCUCCUUU
rnacentral:rRNA from 1 species